AAACAGAUGCUAAUACCGCAUAGAUCCAAGAACCGCAUGGUUCUUGGCUGAAAGAUGGCGUAAGCUAUCGCUUUUGGAUGGACCCGCGGCGUAUUAGCUAGUUGGUGAGGUAAUGGCUCACCAAGGCGAUGAUACGUAGCCGAACUGAGAGGUUGAUCGGCCACAUUGGGACUGAGACACGGCCCAAACUCCUACGGGAGGCAGCAGUAGGGAAUCUUCCACAAUGGACGCAAGUCUGAUGGAGCAACGCCGCGUGAGUGAAGAAGGCUUUCGGGUCGUAAAACUCUGUUGUUGGAGAAGAAUGGUCGGCAGAGUAACUGUUGUCGGCGUGACGGUAUCCAACCAGAAAGCCACGGCUAACUACGUGCCAGCAGCCGCGGUAAUACGUAGGUGGCAAGCGUUAUCCGGAUUUAUUGGGCGUAAAGCGAGCGCAGGCGGUUUUUUAAGUCUGAUGUGAAAGCCCUCGGCUUAACCGAGGAAGCGCAUCGGAAACUGGGAAACUUGAGUGCAGAAGAGGACAGUGGAACUCCAUGUGUAGCGGUGAAAUGCGUAGAUAUAUGGAAGAACACCAGUGGCGAAGGCGGCUGUCUGGUCUGUAACUGACGCUGAGGCUCGAAAGCAUGGGUAGCGAACAGGAUUAGAUACCCUGGUAGUCCAUGCCGUAAACGAUGAAUGCUAGGUGUUGGAGGGUUUCCGCCCUUCAGUGCCGCAGCUAACGCAUUAAGCAUUCCGCCUGGGGAGUACGACCGCAAGGUUGAAACUCAAAGGAAUUGACGGGGGCCCGCACAAGCGGUGGAGCAUGUGGUUUAAUUCGAAGCAACGCGAAGAACCUUACCAGGUCUUGACAUCUUUUGAUCACCUGAGAGAUCAGGUUUCCCCUUCGGGGGCAAAAUGACAGGUGGUGCAUGGUUGUCGUCAGCUCGUGUCGUGAGAUGUUGGGUUAAGUCCCGCAACGAGCGCAACCCUUAUGACUAGUUGCCAGCAUUUAGUUGGGCACUCUAGUAAGACUGCCGGUGACAAACCGGAGGAAGGUGGGGAUGACGUCAAAUCAUCAUGCCCCUUAUGACCUGGGCUACACACGUGCUACAAUGGAUGGUACAACGAGUUGCGAGACCGCGAGGUCAAGCUAAUCUCUUAAAGCCAUUCUCAGUUCGGACUGUAGGCUGCAA
rnacentral:rRNA from 1 species